rnacentral:rRNA from 1 species
AACGAACGCUGGCGGCAGGCUUAACACAUGCAAGUCGAGCGCCCCGCAAGGGGAGCGGCAGACGGGUGAGCAACGCGUGGGAAUCUACCCAUCUCUACGGAAUAACGCAUGGAAACGUGUGCUAAUACCGUAUACGUCCUUCGGGAGAAAGAUUUAUCGGAGAUGGAUGAGCCCGCGUUGGAUUAGCUAGUUGGUGGGGUAAAGGCCUACCAAGGCGACGAUCCAUAGCUGGUCUGAGAGGAUGAUCAGCCACACUGGACUGAGACACGGCCCAGACUCCUACGGGAGGCAGCAGUGGGGAAUAUUGGACAAUGGGCGCAAGCCUGAUCCAGCCAUGCCGCGUGAGUGAUGAAGGCCCUAGGGUUGUAAAGCUCUUUCACCGGUGAAGAUAAUGACGGUAACCGGGGAAGAAGCCCCGGCUAACUUCGUGCCAGCCGCCGCCGUAAUAC